rnacentral:rRNA from 1 species
AAGGUGAUGCCUGCCCGGUGACAUGAUGUUAAACGGCCGCGGUAUCCUAACCGUGCAAAGGUAGCGCAAUCAAUUGUCCCGUAAAUCGGGACUAGUAUGAAUGGCUAAACGAGGUCUUAACUGUCUCUUACAGGCAAUCGGUGAAAUUGAUCUCCCUGUGCAAAAGCAGGGAUAACUACAUAAGACGAGAAGACCCUGUGGAACUUUAAAAACAGCAACCACCCCAAAAUACAUACUCCCCCACUCCGGGCUCACUAUCUAACGGGAUGAUGGUAUGCAUUUUUUCGGUUGGGGCGACCUUGGAGCAAAACAAAACCUCCAAAUACGGGACCAUAACUCCAGACUAAGAGCAACUACUCAAAGUGCUAAUAGCCACCAGAUCCAAUAUAAUUGAUCAAUGGACCAAGCUACCCCAGGGAUAACAGCGCAAUCUCCUCCGAGAGUCCAUAUCGACGGGGAGGUUUACGACCUCGAUGUUGGAUCAGGACAUCCUAGUGGUGCAGCAGCUGCUAAGGGUUCG